rfam:Camelus ferus unplaced genomic scaffold scaffold726, whole genome shotgun sequence.
GAGGAUAUAGAUCAGUGGUAGAGCGCAUGCUUAGCAUGCACGAGACCCUGGCUUCAAUCCCCGGUACCUCCA